ACCCCAUUGUUCCAGGUACUUUAAUGCUGGCAAUUUAAAAAGAUGGGAAUCUUCGACAGUUGUCAGAGGAUUACGACUGAGAAUUCUGAAAAAUGCAAUGCAAUUAAAUGCAUUUUCAAUAUCUCUGAGACUACAUGAAAGUUUUGAAACAUGCUUAUCUUCUAUUCCACUUACACUUGCUGUAAAAACUGCAUUCCAUGCCAUGCCUGAAAUGUUCCAAAGUUCAACUCUGUGAUUACAUUGCAACCAAGAUUUCUACAAAAAGAAAAAGCCAAAGAAGAAGACAACUGCUUCAGUUGUACAGUGGUGGGACAACAAAAACAACAUGAACUUGGAUUCUUACUUGAAAACAGCCAUCCUUUGCAACAGGUAAUUCUCCUCCUUCCUCCAUUCCAGCUUGUCCCUCACUGUUCACCUGGAUGGGUGUAACUGUCCUGACUGAUUCCUACCUCUACUCUCUCCCCUUCUAGUCAGUUCUGAAUAGUCACCAGAUAGACUCUCCAGAAGUGGUUCUCGAACACCUCCAUUACUGGGGAAUUUUUUGUUUCAUUUUUGAGAGAGGGUGUUAGUAUGUAGGUCAGGAUGACCUUGAGCUCUUGCUCUUCCUGCCCCAGCCUCUCCAGUGUUGGGAUCACAGGGAUGUACUACCAUGCCCAACUUGUUUUUGGUUUUUGAGACAAGGUCUUACUGUGUAGCCCAGGUGGCCUGGAACUUUCUACAUAGCCUAGGUUGGGCUUGAACUUGGGAUCCUCCUGCUUCAGAAUCCCAUGUGCUGGGAUCACAGGCAUUUACCACCACCCCUGCCAUCUGGGAACUUUCAAGGAUGCAAAUUCUCAGCCUCCUACAAACUUACUGAACCAGUAACUGUCGGCGUCGUGUCCAGAAACAAGUUGUAACAAGCCCUCCAUGAAACUCUGAAGCAGGAUCAAGAUUGUCUUACAGCAUGGCUCUGAUAAUGUGGUUCCCCAUCUCGACUCCUUUGCUUGGCAUUCAAAGUCUUAGAUGGUCUGCUUACAAUCUCCUACUCUCCUUCUCUUCUACUCUACAGGUACUCAUGGCAUUCCUCAAGCACUUUCUUGCCUUUUGCCUUUCUCCCACUCUACUUCUGCAGAGUUUUAGAGAGAGACAUUUCCCCAAGAUACCUCUCUGACGAUUCCCUGGGGCCCUUUAAGGUUCUGUUCCAGCAGCGUUGCUCUGGGAACAAUUUUCCUGACCCAGUUCAAAGUAUUUUUCUUCUCAUUUGUGGUUUUGAUACAAUUUAUACCCUUUUUAAUGUUUCUAUGGCUUAUGGUUUAAUGGUUAUUUUUCCAUCCCAUUUCUCCUUGACAGCAUGCACUAGGUCUUGCUUGUCUGCCUUGCCAAGCACACCCAAUAUUUAUAAACUCAAUCACUAGCUGGGGAGUGAGCAGGAGAAGAAAAAUGACUACUUAAAAGGCAUGGAGUUUAUUUCUUCCUGACCAACCUCUUCUGCACCUUUGCUGUAGUAUGGUUUAAGGUUAUGCAUUUGUUUUCCCUGGGAGCCCAUGAAGGGUUGAUGAUUCAAAGGACUGUAUUUUGUGCCAUGUGAGGCUCUUUAUACUCACUUCCAAAAGUCUUCUUCUUUUGAAAGGAGAACUAUUUGAAAAAAGCUAAUUAGAUUAGUAAGCUAAUUAAUGUAAGCAUUAAUAACCUUAAUGAAGUACACACAAACGCACCCCCUGGACAAAGGACAAAAAUCAAACUUUCAAGGCAAAGAACAUAGUACUUUCUUAUCUCCGAACAGACAGAAAUACUAUGCAAAUAGUCCCUCCUCAUUCACAAAAGCUGCUGAGAUUUUUAUUUUGUACUCAGUGAAGAGUUAGGGCAGCCAGGUGUGGUGGCUACUUGGGAUCUGAGGUUUGAGGCCAGAACAGAGAAGCUAGUGAGACCAGAUCCACUUAAAAAAAAAAAAAAA